rnacentral:rRNA from 1 species
UACGUAGGGUGCGAGCGUUAAUCGGAAUUACUGGGCGUAAAGCGUGCGCAGGCGGCGCGUUAAGACAGGUGUGAAAGCCCCGAGCUUAACUUGGGAAUUACGCUUGUGACUGGCGUGCUGGAGUGUGGCAGAGGGAGGUGGAAUUCCACGUGUAGCAGUGAAAUGCGUAGAGAUGUGGAGGAACACCGAUGGCGAAGGCAGCCUCCUGGGCCAGCACUGACGCUCAUGCACGAAAGCGUGGGAG